GACGAACGCUGGCGGCGUGCUUAACACAUGCAAGUCGAACGGAAAGGCCCUGCUUGCAGGGUACUCGAGUGGCGAACGGGCGAGUAACACGUGGGUGAUCUGCCCUGCACUUCGGGAUAAGCCUGGGAAACUGGGUCUAAUACCGGAUAGGAGCCAUUUUUAGUGUGAUGGUUGGAAAGUUUUUUUCGGUGUAGGAUGAGCUCGCGGCCUAUCAGCUUGUUGGUGGGGUAAUGGCCUACCAAGGCGGCGACGGGUAGCCGGCCUGAGAGGGUGGACGGCCACAUUGGGACUGAGAUACGGCCCAGACUCCUACGGGAGGCAGCAGUGGGGAAUAUUGCACAAUGGGCGCAAGCCUGAUGCAGCGACGCCGCGUGGGGGAUGACGGCCUUCGGGUUGUAAACUCCUUUCGCUAGGGACGAAGCUUUUUGUGACGGUACCUAGAUAAGAAGCACCGGCUAACUACGUG
rnacentral:rRNA from 1 species